GGCAGAGGGAGGAGGAGGAGGUAAUUUUACGUGUGUGUGUUUGUGAUUAGGGGGGAAAAAAGAGGCAGGUAUUCACAGGUCUCGGCUUUCUUCCUCUUCCCACCUUCCUUUUGUUACAGAUUCCCUCACUGAAAGAGGAACUUCGAAUUCUUUGUCAAAGACCCAGGACCUUCAGCACACACGGACACACCUGGACAACAAAAAUUUAACCUCCGCAGCUUCAAUUUUAUGACGCCAAGUCUGCAUUCUUUGCCUCUGGUGUGGCUUUCUUCCAUUCAUCUCUCAUCUAUCCUUCCACUUAUCACUCCCUCCCUUAACAGCCCAGUGUUUCCUCCCUUCCUUCCACUCCCUCCUCUACGAUGUCCACCCUUUUACCUCCUCCCCAACCGAGAGGCAUCGACUACAGCCUGCCGACCUGCGGAGAGAAGGAUUGCAAUGGCCAUGGUGACUGUGUGUUCUUUCCGGGUGGCGGCAACGAGAUGGUGUGCGACUGCCAUCUGGGCUACCGGGGCAACUCCUGCGACGACACGGUCAACGGGGCCUUAAGUUUACCGCUGACCCUGAGUGUGCUGGCCGUCAUUAUCGGGGUGGUGAUCUUGGCUUUCAUCUUCGCCAAGAUUAGGCAGAAGCAAAAGGAGAGGAACAGGAAAAAUCGGACAGCAAAACAUGGCUACAAAGUUGUUGUAUAAUGUGGAUAAAUCUCCAUCGUACCUGAGGUCAACCAUGACAGUGACCCUAUUGAGCUUCCAUCAGCAUUCUUCUGCAGCACGCUUACAGAGCUUAGAGUUUGUUGAAUUUUGUGAA